rnacentral:rRNA from 1 species
UACAGAGGUCUCAAGCGUUGUUCGGAUUCAUUGGGCGUAAAGGGUGUGUAGGUGGCGCCGUAAGUCGGGUGUGAAAUUUCGGAGCUUAACUCCGAAAACUGCAUUCGAUACUGCGGUGCUUGAGGACUGGAGAGGAGACUGGAAUUCAUGGUGUAGCAGUGAAAUGCGUAGAGAUCAUGAGGAAGACCAGUGGCGAAGGCGGGUCUCUGGACAGUUCCUGACACUGAGACACGAAGGCCAGGGGAGCAAACGGG